AACGAACGUUAGCGGCGCGCUUAAUACAUGCAAGUCGAGCGAGAAAGGGCUUCGGCCCCGGUAAAGCGGCGCACGGGUGAGUAACACGUAGGUCAUCUGCCCCGAGGUGGUGGAUAACAUCCCGAAGGGGUGCUAAUACAGCAUGAUACCGAAAGGUCAAAGCGGGCCUCUCCUUGGAAGCCCGCGCCAUGGGAUGAGCCUGCGGCGCAUCAGCUAGUCGGUGGGGGAAUGGCCUACCAAGGCUAAGACGCGUAGCUGGUCUGAGAGGAUGACCAGCCACACUGGAACUGAGACACGGACGAGAAUCCUGCGGGAGGCAGCAGUAGGGAAUCUUGCGCAAUGGGAGGAAGCCUGAAGCAGCGACGCCGCGUGAGUGAUGAAGGCCCUCGGGUUGUAAAGCUCUGUGAGGUGCGAAGAAUAAGUGCACACUAAUAACGUGCGCGAUGACGGUAUCUCCUUAGCAAGCACCGGCUAACUCUGUGCCAGCAGCCGCGGUAA
rnacentral:rRNA from 1 species